GAGCUUUGGAUAGUCUGUGAAUUAUUACACUGCAAUAGAUCACAGUUUCGUGUGCAUUAAUGUUUUCUAUUUGUCAAUGUUAGACAUUAUGAAGAAAAUAAUCUUCUUGAAGUGGAAAGGAAAGCAUUUUAAGCGUCUCCAUCAUCAGGGUUCAGAGGAGGGGCUCCAGGAUGUCACAAACCCCCCAUUUCCAUCUCAUCCUGCUGUUCAACAGCCAACUUCAACUGAAAGUCUGGAGGAUGUUGUGUUUGUUGAUGAGCAGAUGUGUGCCUGGAAAAAGCCGGAGUAUGUUCAGCCGGAACAGGUUCCUUAUGAUGAGCACAGGUACAGAGCCCAACAGCAUGGGGGCCAGUACGGGGGCCACUGUAAAAGUGGCCCUACGGUAUUUAAUGAUGUCAGGCAUGGGGCACCAAACAUUGAGGACC
ensembl:lncRNA